AGUGAACGCUGGCGGUAGGCCUGACACAUGCAAGUCGAACGGCAGCACAGUAAGAGCUUGCUCUUACGGGUGGCGAGUGGCGGACGGGUGAGGAAUACAUCGGAAUCUACUUUUUCGUGGGGGAUAACGUAGGGAAACUUACGCUAAUACCGCAUACGACCUACGGGUGAAAGCAGGGGAUCUUCGGACCUUGCGCGAUUGAAUGAGUCGAUGUCGGAUUAGCUAGUUGGCGGGGUAAAGGCCCACCAAGGCGACGAUCCGUAGCUGGUCUGAGAGGAUGAUCAGCCACACUGGAACUGAGACACGGUCCAGACUCCUACGGGAGGCAGCAGUGGGGAAUAUUGGACAAUGGGCGCAAGCCUAAUCCAGCCAUACCGCGUGGGUGAAGAAGGCCUUCGGGUUGUAAAGCCCUUUUGUUGGGAAAGAAAAGCAGCAGGUUAAUACCCCGCUGUUCUGACGGUACCCAAAGAAUAAGCACCGGCUAACUUCGUG
rnacentral:rRNA from 1 species